GGGGGGGCAAGCGUUUGUUUCGGAUUUACUGGGCGUAAAGGGCUCGUAGGCGGCCAUCUAAGUCGGUUGUGAAAUCCCUCGGCUCAACCGGGGAACUGCGACCGAGACUGGAUGGCUUGAAGCCGGGAGAGGGAUGCGGAAUUCCAGGUGUAGCGGUGAAAUGCGUAGAUAUCUGGAGGAACACCCGUGGCGAAGGCGGUAUCCUGGACCGGUCUUGACGCUGAGGAGCGAAAGCUAGGGUAGCAAACGGGAUUAGAUACCCGGUAGUCCUAGCCGUAAACGAUGAAUGCUUGGUGUGGCGGGUAUCGAUCCCCUGCCCGUGCCGUAGCUAACGCGUUAAGCAUUCCGCCUGGGGAGUACGGUCGCAAGGCUG
rnacentral:rRNA from 1 species